rnacentral:rRNA from 1 species
AGCAGCCGCGGUAAUUCCAGCUCCAAUAGCGUGUAUUAAAGUUGUUGCAGUUAAAAAGCUCGUAGUUGAAUUUCGGGAUCAAAUUGUCGGUCGUGCCUCGGUACGUACUGGCGUUAUUGGUUCCUACCUUCUGAAGAACCACGAUGUCAUUAAUUUGGUGUCGCGGGGAAUCAGGACUGUUACUUUGAAAAAAUUAGAGUGUUUAAAGCAGGCUCGCGCUUGAAUACAUUAGCAUGGAAUAAUGAAAUAGGACGUUUGAUUCUAUUUUGUUGGUUUCUAGGAUCGACGUAAUGAUUAAUAGGGAUAGUUGGGGGCAUUAGUAUUCAAUUGUCAGAGGUGAAAUUCUUGGAUUUAUUGAAGACUAACUACUGCGAAAGCAUUUGCCAAGGAUGUUUUCAUUAAUCAAGAACGAAAGUUAGGGGAUCGAAGACGAUCAGAUACCGUCGUAGUCUUAACCAUAAACUAUGCCGACUAGGGAUCGGNUGAUGUUAAUUUUUUAAUGACUCA